rnacentral:rRNA from 1 species
AUUGAACGCUGGCGGCAGGCCUAACACAUGCAAGUCGAACGCGUGGCGGACGGGUGAGACAUGUCUGGGACACUGCCUGAUGGAGGGGGAUCACUACUGGAAACGGUAGCAAAUCCCGCAUCCCAUCAGAUGUGCCCAGAUGGGAUUAGCUAGUUGGUGGGGUCACGGCUCACCAAGGCGACGAUCCCUAGCUGGUCUGAGAGGAUGACCAGCCACACUGGAACUGAGACACGGUCCAGACUCCUACGGGAGGCAGCAGUGGGGAAUAUUGCACAAUGGGCGCAAGCCUGAUGCAGCCAUGCCGCGUGUAUGAAGAAGGCCUUCGGGUUGUAAAGUACUUUCAGCGGGGAGGCGUUACCCGCAGAAGAAGCACCGGCUAACUCCGUGCCAGCCGCCGCGGUAAUAC